rnacentral:rRNA from 1 species
GACGAACGCUGGCGGCGUGCUUAACACAUGCAAGUCGAACGAAGAGCGAUGGAAGCUUGCUUCUAUCAAUCUUAGUGGCGAACGGGUGAGUAACGCGUAAUCAACCUGCCCUUCAGAGGGGGACAACAGUUGGAAACGACUGCUAAUACCGCAUACGAUCUAAUCUCGGCAUCGAGGAUAGAUGAAAGGUGGCCUCUACAUGUAAGCUAUCACUGAAGGAGGGGAUUGCGUCUGAUUAGCUAGUUGGAGGGGUAACGGCCCACCAAGGCGAUGAUCAGUAGCCGGGCUGAGAGGAGGAACGGCGACAUUGGGACUGAGACACGGCCCAGACUCCUACGGGAGGCAGCAGUGGGGAAUCUUCCGCAAUGGACGAAAGUCUGACGGAGCAACGCCGCGUGAGUGAUGACGGCCUUCGGGUUGUAAAGCUCGGUUAAUCGGGACGAAAGGCCUUCUUGCGAAUAGUGAGAAGGAUUGACGGUACCGGAAUAGAAAGCCACGGCUAACUACGUG